rnacentral:rRNA from 1 species
UACGAAGGGGGCUAGCGUUGUUCGGAAUCACUGGGCGUAAAGCGCACGUAGGCGGAUCUUUAAGUCAGGGGUGAAAUCCCGAGGCUCAACCUCGGAACUGCCUUUGAUACUGGGGGAUCUCGAGUCCGGGAGAGGUGAGUGGAACUGCGAGUGUAGAGGUGAAAUUCGUAGAUAUUCGCAAGAACACCAGUGGCGAAGGCGGCUCACUGGCCCGGAACUGACGCUGAGGUGCGAAAGCGUGGGGAGCAAACAGG